GACGAACGCUGGCGGCGUGCCUAAUACAUGCAAGUAGAACGCACAGUUUAUACCGUAGCUUGCUACACCAUAAACUGUGAGUUGCGAACGGGUGAGUAACGCGUAGGUAACCUGCCUGGUAGCGGGGGAUAACUAUUGGAAACGAUAGCUAAUACCGCAUAAUAUUGAUUAUUGCAUGAUAAUUGAUUGAAAGAUGCUAUUGCAUCACUACCAGAUGGACCUGCGUUGUAUUAGCUAGUAGGGGAGGUAACGGCUCACCUAGGCGACGAUACAUAGCCGACCUGAGAGGGUGAUCGGCCACACUGGGACUGGGACACGGCCCAGACUCCUACGGGAGGCAGCAGUAGGGAAUCUUCGGCAAUGGACGAAAGUUUGACCGAGCAACGCCGCGUGAGUGAAGAAGGUUUUCGGAUCGUAAAGCUCUGUUGUAAGAGAAGAACGGGUGUGAGAGUGGAAAGUUCACACUGUGACGGUAUCUUACCAGAAAGGGACGGCUAACUACGUG
rnacentral:rRNA from 1 species